GGUGGCUCAGUGGUAGAGCACUUGCCUUGAAUGCCAGAGGCCCUGAGUUCAAUUCCUCAGCACCA
rnacentral:tRNA from 1 species